UGUUGGUGGGGUAACGGCCUACCAAGGCAACGAUGGGUAGCUGGUCUGAGAGGACGAUCAGCCACACUGGGACUGAGACACGGCCCAGACUCCUACGGGAGGCAGCAGUGGGGAAUCUUGCGCAAUGCGCGAAAGCGUGACGCAGCAACGCCGCGUGGGGGAAGACGGCCUUCGGGUUGUAAACCCCUUUCAGGAGGGACGAAGGUUCACCGGUGAAUAGCCGUGUGGAUUGACGGUACCUCCACAAGAAGCUCCGGCUAACUACGUGCCAGCAGCCGCGGUAAUACGUAGGGAGCAAGCGUUGUCCGGAAUCAUUGGGCGUAAAGCGCGCGUAGGUGGCUCUAUAAGUCCGUUGUGAAAGUCAAAGGCUCAACCUUUGAAAGCCGAUGGAUACUGUAGAGCUAGAGUCCGGAAGAGGCGAGUGGAAUUCCUGGUGUAGCGGUGGAAUGCGCAGAUAUCAGGAGGAACACCAAUAGCGAAGGCAGCUCGCUGGGACGUGACUGACACUAAGGCGCGAAAGCGUGGGGAGCGAACAGGAUUAGAUACCCUGGUAGUCCACGCCGUAAACGAUGGGCAUUAGGUGUGGGAGGUGUCGACUCCUCCCGUGCCGUCGCUAACGCACUAAAUGCCCCGCCUGGGGAGUACGGCCGCAAGGCUAAAGCUCAAAGGAAUUGACGGGGGCCCGCACAAGCAGCGGAGCAUGUGGUUUAAUUCGACGCAACGCGAAGAACCUUACCUGGGCUUGACAUGUCAGUGACCGCCGUGGAAACACGGUUUUCCUUCGGGACACUGUCACAGGUGGUGCAUGGCUGUCGUCAGCUCGUGUCGUGAGAUGUUGGGUUAAGUCCCGCAACGAGCGCAACCCCCGUCCUAUGUUGCCAUCAUUAAGUUGGGGACUCAUAGGAGACUGCCGGUGACAAACCGGAGGAAGGUGGAUGACGUCAAGUCAUCAUGCCCCUUAUGUCCAGGGCUACACACGUGCUACAUUGGCGCAUACAAAGGGCAGCAAUACCGCGAGGUGGAGCAAAUCCCAGAAAGUGCGUCUCGGUUCGGAUUGGAGGCUGAAACUCGCCUCCAUGAAGGUGGAGUUGCUAGUAAUCGCAGAUCAGCAAUGCUGCGGUGAAUACGUUCCCGGGCCUUGUACACACCGCCCGUCACACCACGAAAGCGAGUAACACCCGAAGCCGGUGGCCUAACCGCAAGGAGGGAGCCGUCGAAGGUGGGACCCGUGAUUGGGGUGAAGUCGUAACAAGGUAGCCGUAGCGGAAGCUGCGGCUG
rnacentral:rRNA from 1 species